CAGUGAGGGAAUUAAGGACAGCACGUUGUCCUUGUAACGGGAUUCCAGCACGGUGGCCAUCCAGUAAUCAUCACAAGUUAGAAUGUGGGCAUCUCGGCAGUCGUUGCGCAGUCACUUUAGUGACUCUAGAUAACCUCGGGCCAAUCGAAGUUCCCCAUGACAGCGAUGACGCAUUCGGAUGUCUGCCUUAUCAACUUUCGAUGGUACUUUCUGCGCCAACCAUUGUGGCCACGGGUAACGGGGAAUCAGGUUUCAAUUCUGG